UUUUAAUAAUUUUAUAAUUAUACAAAAAUACUUUGGGAAGAUUUCAAAAAAAAAAAAAAAAAACAAAAACAAUAACUUAUACUUUAAUAGCAUUUUACUCACUUUGGGCUAUGAUUACCAUUCCAAUUCUACAAAAAAUAAAAGAAGCCCAAACCUCCCAAACCCUCAUUUCUAAUUAAGUAAACUUCUCCUAAAACCCUCCUACUGCCCUCUCCUUAUUACUCCUCUACUGCUUCCUCCUUUCCCCAUCCACAAUUCACGACACUCACAAAAAAUAAAAAAAAAUAAAAAUUCGCUGCUGCCCCUUCGUUGCUGCUGUCGCCUACGCUGCUGGUGUCGCCGCCGCACUGCUGCUGCCGCCAGCGACCCGUCGCUGCUGCUCGAACCACCAGCCGGAAGGGACUUCGUAGAAGGUGACUUCUAGCCUUAAAGUGGCCAACCAAUUUGUGUACUCAGGAUUCAUCACAGGUUUUUGCAUAAACUGUCUUGCAUCAGGGUGAUGGGAUUUGAGUGGAGCGUUGGUUAAUUACUUAGCUUAUUUCACUUCAUAGACUGAGUUUAUUUGACUAUAAUUUUACUUACUUCCUAUUUUAUAUGGAUUUUGAAUAAGGGCCUUUAUGGUUCCAACUUGUAAAUCUAAAGCCUGAUUUUGGUUUUUAGUUUCAAAACUUAUAUCCUUUUCUUUUUAAAAUAAAAAAAACUAAGUCAGUUUUCUGCUGCUGA